UUGAAAUGCUUCAUUUACUGCAGCUACAAGUGAGAAUAACACACAAAAUAGUGAUGUGAUAAAGAAAUCACCUGCAGGGAAUGUCUUUAAGGUCUUGGAUAUGAACAUUAUGCUAUCUGAUGAAAAAUAAAGUUCAAGAUAAUCUCUGUCAAAUGCUUUAAAAAUUUGUCAAAAUGUUGCCUUCUCCUCUCUGUCUAAAUAUCAGAUUUAUCAAUCCCCUAACAUGUCUUCAUAACAUAGUUAAAUUGAAUAAAUACUAAAUGGUUCAAUAAAAACCUGCGGUAAAACAGGAUUGUGUU
rnacentral:misc_RNA from 1 species